AAUGACCCCAGGAAACCAGGAUCAGACAUUGGCAUUGAGGAUUGAGUCCAGCCAGCUCUCCCAUUCACAGAUGGAGAAGGUGAAGCACAGAGGGCCUACGCACUGAAAUCUCUCCUGUCUACGGCCGCCAGGUGAAUCGUGCCAAGACGCCGCUUUCACAGGUGAAUCGUGCCAAGACGCCACUUUCACAGAUUGAGCACUUACUUACCUGGUAUUGUGAUGACCUGUGUCUCUCCCCUUGACCGGAUUGUGACAUCCAAGGCAGGAACCUUGCCUGG